CUUCCUAUAUUUCAUUUUACUUUGCCUCUCACUCUCAUUCUUCUCUUCCGUUCAUCUCAUCCCUCUCACUCACAUUUCUCCGUCUUUAAAAUUAGGGCAGGAAGGGGGCAUUAUUGUGGUUGGUUUUCACUCGCAUUGAAGCAGUACGAAGGAUUGCGAUUUUGGCAUCCUUGUGUAGGUCAAAACCUUAGUACCGGUUCCAUCUGGGUGAUUAUCGCGAUUCCUAUUUUUUUUUGUGAGGUGCGUUUUGGAGUGCUGCAGGUGACGUGGUCCCUUCAAUUUUUGGUUCCGAUUGCUGUGUGUGGCGUUUUCAUUUGAGAAGGCUGCAGGCUUUAGCACAGAGCAUCAACUACAGACUACCCUGAACAACCCACCUUCAUCGUCUUGAGGCCUGAGAAAAAAUUCAAAGUUAGAAAACCUGCACCCUUCAACUGAGUACUUUUGCAAGGCUUUUCAAAAUGGACUUGUGAAGCACAUGCUAUUCAACCGCAGUUUGAUUCUACUUAUUCUCCACUGGCCUUGACGUUGAGGGUGGCUGGUUGUUGACUUUUUUUUUGUUGUGUUCCUAUUUCAAAUUUCAAAUUUCAAAUUUUUAAUGAUUCAUCUCCCAUGGGAGCUGCAGACAUGGAAGACCAAAUGGUGUUUCUAGAAAUUUGGCUAGAAUUCAAUAGUGUAUAUACAUUAAUGUAAUAUUUAGAUUUAAUAUAUAGUUUUAUGUAUAAAUGGUAUUAAAUUAUUAGAUGAUUUAAUGUUUGAAAUGAAUUCUAUUUUGUUAGUAUCA